GUGUGUCAUCUAUUUAUAAAGUGAAGUGAAUUCAUUUCACUGAGAAUAAAUUUGUCGAAAUUACUCUGAGAAAAAAGAUGUUCGGAACUACCGGCACAGCAAAUUGGCUGUGCAAUAUAGGAAGUUGAUGAAUGAAAAUGAUUCACCAAUAUAUUCUAAAAGGAUCCCGAUCUUCUUACUUAGCUGUUAUCCGCACGGUCGGUUUAUUUCAAUUUCCUUCAUAAAAGACGCUAUUCUCGGAUUUGAAGUAGAUUUAUCAUGCUCGGAUAAAGCGGGCACUUUUUGUGCUUUUCUUGUGCCUGGAUCUGACCCGAGAUCUGUCCACUUAAUGUGAAUAAUGGUGUGCGAUGGAAAACGAAUGCGAACCCGAACAAAAGACAACAAUACCAAGCGAUUUUAAGAUUUGAUACAAAGAUUUCGUUGAGAGAAUCGAGACGGAGUUAUCUGUGGAAUCCCAGACGUCCUCAGAUAAUCGAUUCCUUGAGGCAAAGCCGAGACCAGGAGAGAUGCACUCGAGAUGCACCGGGCCACGACUCUCUACAAGUUGUUUGGCAUACAAUAAUGUUUGCUCCCAUCAAUUUCCCAAAGCGCUACGUCGCGAGGAGAUCGCGUGGGAUCGUGUCGGCAACGGGAAAUUGGCGCGUUAUGUAUCAAUAGGAUCAGGCAACUGUUGCUGUAUCUAUAUGUCGACACUGGUUAUACCUACUUACAAAUUGCUGAUUCAAGGUUAAUAUUUGGUAUUAGAAAAUAAUAACUUUACUUCUCAGAUAAAACACAAACACAAAAAUAUACAUACAAAUUAUAGAUAAAUAAAUAAAUAAAUAUAUAUACACAGAAAUAUUGAAUCAUCAAUAAUAUAUGAAUUCUGUUUACUAAAAAAGGUACUAACAGCAAUUAACAGAGACCCCUAAUAUUAUUUAACUUGUACAAUAUUAGUUUUCCUCAUUUGUUACGCUCAUUUCCCGUAGCUACGUCAAACAAACUGAGCAGCCGGGAAUGUUUUUAUGAGAAUAGUUCCAUUCAGCCAUUGUGUGCUGAUUUGACAGGGGUACAUGAGAAGCACACCCUAAUUUCCGCGUAAUGGAUUAAUAGACACGCUAUAAGCCAGGAAUGUAAAAUACGGUACGUUCGGCUCUGAUUCGGGUUAAAUGUUAACCUUUAUAUAAUUGUUCGAUUAGAGCAGA